rnacentral:misc_RNA from 1 species
AACGCACGAGACCUGCGGCCUGCGGAAGGAUCAUUAAUGAGAAACUGCCCCUCGCGGGUAGAUCUCCCACCCUUUGUAAACUUACCUUUGUUGCUUUGGCAGGCCCGUCUCCGGACCGCCGGCUUCGGCUGGCCAGUGCCUGCCAGAGGAUUCUAAAACUCUGUCUGUCAGUGUUGUCUGAGUCUAUAUACAAUCGUUAAAACUUUUAACAAUGGAUCUCU